rfam:Phaseolus vulgaris cultivar G19833 chromosome 10, whole genome shotgun sequence.
AUACUUACCUGGACGGGGUCAAUGGGUGAUCAAAAAGGCCUAUGGCCUAGAUCUGUGACCUUCAUUGCACUUUGAAGGGGUGCAGUUCUAAGGUCUGUCCAAGUGACAGAGCCUACGUCGUAAUUUGUGUCAGAGGGGGCUUGCGUUCGCGCAGCCCCUAC